GAUGAACGCUAGCGGCAGGCCUAAUACAUGCAAGUCGAACGGUGUAGCAAUACACAGUGGCGCACGGGUGCGUAACACGUAUGCAACCUACCUUACAUUGGGGGAUAGCCUUUCGAAAGGGAGAUUAAUACCGCAUAAGACAGUAACUAGGCAUCUAGUAGCUGUUAAAGAUUUAUCGAUGUAAGCUGGGCAUGCGUCCAAUUAGUUAGUUGGCGAGGUAAUGGCUCACCAAGACGAUGAUUGGUAGGGGAACUGAGAGGUCAAUCCCCCACACUGGCGCGGAGAUACGGGCCAGACUCCUACGGGAGGAAGAAGUAGGGAAUAUUGGGCAAUGGGCGCAAGCCUGACCCAGCCAUGCCGCGUGCAGGAAGAAGGCGUUAUGCGUUGUAAGCUGCUUUUAUACAGGAAGAAACGACCCUUGCGAGGGGCAUUGACGGUACUGUAUGAAUAAGCACCGGCUAACUCCGUGCCAGCCGCCGCCGUAAUAC
rnacentral:rRNA from 1 species